GCCGGGCGUGGUGACGCGCGCCUGUAAUCCCAGCUACUUGGGAGGCUGAGGCAGGAGAAUUGCUUGAACCCUGGAGGCAGAGGUUGCAGUGAGCCAGGAUUACGCCACUGCACUCCAGCCUGGUUGACAGAGUGAGACUCUGUCUCCA
rnacentral:SRP_RNA from 1 species